AUUGAACGCUGGCGGCAGGCCUAACACAUGCAAGUCGAGCGGAUGAAGAGAGCUUGCUCUCUGAUUUAGCGGCGGACGGGUGAGUAAUGCCUAGGAAUCUGCCUGGUAGCGGGGGAUAACGUCCGGAAACGGGCGCUAAUACCGCAUACGUCCUACGGGAGAAAGCAGGGGACCUUCGGGCCUUGCGCUAUCAGAUGAGCCUAGGUCGGAUUAGCUAGUUGGUGAGGUAAUGGCUCACCAAGGCUACGAUCCGUAACUGGUCUGAGAGGAUGAUCAGUCACACUGGAACUGAGACACGGUCCAGACUCCUACGGGAGGCAGCAGUGGGGAAUAUUGGACAAUGGGCGAAAGCCUGAUCCAGCCAUGCCGCGUGUGUGAAGAAGGUCUUCGGAUUGUAAAGCACUUUAAGUUGGGAGGAAGGGCAGUAAGUUAAUACCUUGCUGUUUUGACGUUACCGACAGAAUAAGCACCGGCUAACUUCGUGCCAGCCGCCGCGGUAAAAC
rnacentral:rRNA from 1 species